rnacentral:rRNA from 2 species
UGGGUAACCUGCCCCGAAGCGGGGGAUAACAUUUGGAAACAAGUGCUAAUACCGCAUAAUUAGUUGGAACCGCAUGGUUCCAACUUGAAAGAUGGCUCUGCUAUCACUUUGGGAUGGACCCGCGCCGUAUUAGUUAGUUGGUGAGAUAAAAGCCCACCAAGACGAUGAUACGUAGCCGACCUGAGAGGGUAAUCGGCCACAUUGGGACUGAGACACGGCCCAGACUCCUACGGGAGGCAGCAGUAGGGAAUCUUCCACAAUGGACGAAAGUCUGAUGGAGCAACGCCGCGUGAGUGAUGAAGGUUUUCGGAUCGUAAAACUCUGUUGUUAAAGAAGAACAAGUGUUAGAGUAACUGUUAACACUUUGACGGUAUUUAACCAGAAAGCCACGGCUAACUACGUGCCAGCAGCCGCGGUAAUACGUAGGUGGCAAGCGUUGUCCGGAUUUAUUGGGCGUAAAGCGAGCGCAGGCGGUUUUGUAAGUCUGCUGUGAAAGCCCUCAGCUCAACUGAGGAAGUGCAGUGGAAACUACAAAACUUGAGUACAGAAGAGGAAAGUGGAACUCCAUGUGUAGCGGUGAAAUGCGUAGAUAUAUGGAAGAACACCAGUGGCGAAGGCGGCUUUCUGGUCUGUUACUGACGCUGAGGCUCGAAAGCAUGGGUAGCGAACAGGAUUAGAUACCCUGGUAGUCCAUGCCGUAAACGAUGAAUACUAGGUGUUGGAGGGUUUCCGCCCUUCAGUGCCGCAGCUAACGCAUUAAGUAUUCCGCCUGGGGAGUACGACCGCAAGGUUGAAACUCAAAGGAAUUGACGGGGGCCCGCACAAGUGGUGGAGCAUGUGGUUUAAUUCGAUGCUACGCGAAGAACCUUACCAGCUCUUGACAUCUUCUGCCAACCCAAGAGAUUGGGCGUUCCCUUCGGGGACAGAAUGACAGGUGGUGCAUGGUUGUCGUCAGCUCGUGUCGUGAGAUGUUGGGUUAAGUCCCGCAACGAGCGCAACCCUUAUUAUUAGUUGCCAGCAUUUAGUUGGGCACUCUAGUGAGACUGCCGGUGAUAAACCGGAGGAAGGUGGGGACGACGUCAAAUCAUCAUGCCCCUUAUGAGCUGGGCUACACACGUGCUACAAUGGAUGGUACAACGAGUCGCGAAACCGCGAGGUCAAGCUAAUCUCUUAAAGCCAUUCUCAGUUCGGAUUGCAGGCUGCAACUCGCCUGCAUGAAGUUGGAAUCACUAGUAAUCGUGGAUCAGCAUGCCACGGUGAAUACGUUCCCGGGCCUUGUACACACCGCCCGUCACACCAUGAGAGUUUGUAACC